UGGGGAAUUUUGCACAAUGGGGGCAACCCUGAUGCAGCGACGCCGCGUGAUUUAGAAGGCCUUCGGGUUGUAAAAAUCUUUUGUAUAGGAAGAAAAUGACAGUACUAUACGAAUAAGGUCCGGCUAAUUACGUGCCAGCAGCCGCGGUAAUACGUAAGGACCGAGCGUUGUCCGGAAUCAUUGGGCGUAAAUGGUACGUAGGCGGUUAAAAAAGUUAGAAGUGAAAGGCUAUAGCUCAACUAUAGUAAGCUUUUAAAACUGUUUAACUUGAGAGAUGGAAGGGAAAGUGGAAUUCCUAGUGUAGCGGUGAAAUGCGCAGAUAUUAGGAGGAAUACCGGUGGCGAAGGCGACUUUCUGGCCAUUAUCUGACGCUGAGGUACGAAAGCGUGGGUAGCAAACAGG
rnacentral:rRNA from 1 species